rnacentral:lncRNA from 1 species
GAAGAGUUAAGCAAUGUGAACACUAAAAAUCAGUGUAGUUGUGUGUGCAAUUGUGGAGGGAGGGGCUAAAUUAAAUCUACAUUAUAAUUAGAGGAAAUAUACAAAUGAUGAAUCUCUUGCCAUACAUAGCCAAAGCUUUUGCUCUAUUGGUUCCAGAUGAAAAACAGCGAGAAUUCAAGUCUGACAAUCAAAUGUUUACUGAAGCAAGCUCAAUGAAUAGUGCCAGUUCAUCAGGAUCUUCAGAAGGAAGGCAGCAGUUCAAAACAAACUUUGCGUCCACUAGCAGUCACAAUGGGAGACCAAGAAUAUUCUGUGAUUAUUGCAGAAGGUUAAGGCAUAUCAGGGACAAGUGCUUUAAACUUCACGGUUAUCCCCAAACCAACACUCAUGGCAAUGACCAAACCAGAUAUAAUAAUUCACAGAAUCAAAGGUUUGAACCUCACAACAAUCAACCCCAUAGAUCUGCCAAAGGGAAAGGCAUUGCAGCAAAUGCAUUUGGGAUUGAUGAUGAGACCACUGCAGCACACAUUGAUGAACAUCCACACAUUUCAAGUCCCAAUCUUAUUAAGGAUCAAUAUGGACAACUUCUUAGCCUGCUACAACAAUUUCAAAGGGGUCCUACAGGGGAAACUAAUGAAGAUCAGGGUGCAAGUGGAUUUCAGGUAUGAUAACUUGUAACUCUUCUUUUGAUUUUGACAAACCUUCAUAUGAAUGUCUUAAAACAGGAUUUGAUUUGUGGAUAUUAGAUUUAGGGUCUACACACCACAUGACUUUAAUAAAAAUCAUUUUUCAGACAUUAUUACUUUACCAUAUCCCAUGCUAGUAAACUUACCCAAUGGAUACAAGGUAAAAGUGACUGAAGUCGGAACUGUAAAACUUGCUCCCAUGAUCACAUUGUACAAAGUACUCUUCAUCCCCUCUUUCAGAUACAACUUGAUCUCAAUCAAUUCCUUCACAAUCCACGUCAAGUGUAUUGCUUCAUUCUCCAAUUCCACUUGUGUUUUGCAGGGCCCUUCAAUGAUAGGCCACUGGAAUUUGGUAGAGCUCAAGAUGGACUCUACUUUCUUUGCUCAACAUAUCUACAGAAGAAAUGCUUUGCUUCCAAUAAAUGUCCUACCUCUAAUGAUAGUAAAGUAUGUAGUAUGUGUCAUUCUCAUUCAUGUUCCUAUACUCCUUUAUCAAAUGUAAAAUACUCAUCUACUCCAUGUCCUUCCAUUCCUAAUGUAGUGACAACUAUUCAGAAUAAUAAAAUUGUUGCUUCCCAUUCUCUACAUUAUGUGCCUACUUUACAACCAUCUCAUGAAAGCAAAACAUAUCGUCCAUUCUUGUAAAAGUUUUUGUCAAACAACCUUUUUCUUGUGGUAUCUGCCCUAUGGAAAGACUAUCCAAACUACUAUUCCCAAUCAAAUCACAUAACACAACCAAAAUAUUUGAAUUACUCCAUGUUGAUCUAUGGGGCCUUAUCAUGUUUCCACUCAUGAUAAUUUCAAAUAUUUUAUUACACUAGUAGAUGAUUUUAGCAUGUCUUGGACACAUUUGUUGAGCUGUAAGAGUAAUGCACUGCAUAUCCUUAAAGAUUUUGUUAAUAUGGUUGAAAAUCAAUUUCAAACGACAAUUCAAAUUACAGAUCCGACAAUGGUUUGGAGUUUGUAAACCAAGAAUCCAUUCUUUUCUUUUAAUCCAUGUUGACACCCAAUUUUGACCCACGACGGUAUAAAUUAAUUAUCGAGCUUCCUAAAUUUUCCAAAUAAUUUAAAUUAAUUAGUUUUAUAAUUUUGUGAAAAUAUAACGAUAUAGUGUUUACAUAGUUGUGUAUAUAGCCGGUAUAUCUUGUGUAUAUUCGAAAAUCAUCCCAAAAUAUUUUGAUUUUGAUAAUCAGUCCAUCUUAGUUUAAAAUUGUGAGUCACUAUUUUUAAAAUUUUAUUACUAGGUAAGUAAGCUCGUUAAUGAAUUUACGCCGAAUUCGUCUUACUUUAAAUCAAUUGGCCAUCUUUUAAAUUCAACUCUUUUUCCCUUUUAAUUCAUUUUGAAGAACCAAGCCCAUUUCAACUCAAAUCUCAAAUUCCUCCACUCUUCCCUCCAGCCCAACCCAAACACAACCCAACCCUUUCUUCCUCCCCCAAAUCCCUACACACCCGACCCGCUUCCCCUUUCUUUCCCCUUUCCCCACCACGCGACCCCAUUCCCAGAAAAACAGACGCCAAUCUCCCUCCCCCCCCCCCGCGUCUCCCCACGCUCGCUCCCUCCUCUCUCUCUUCUCCUCUCCCCAUCGCGCGUGGAUGGGAAGAAUUCGCAACGGACACCUGCUGCUGCAGCCUCGUACGCAGCAACGCAGUGAGCACAAAACGACGCGUGAGAAAUCGGAUUAGCAAUUUUCGGUUGGAAAAAACUUCUUUGGUUGUUCUGUUAUUUCUGAGAGAACUAAAGACUCCCCAUUUGCGGUUGGAAAGUGGAAGAAAUAAUGGUCCGCUUCUCCUCUUAAUUGGUGUUGGCUUCCCUGUUAUUGUGUUUGUCAAAACAAACAUGUCUAAGUUGUAUUUAGAUGGACUACGCCAACCUAACAAGCCCCCUGAUUGCAUCCAUACCUUCAAAAUGAAUUGUUUCAAUUUUGCGUGAGUGGUUUGUUCGGUGAAUGUCCAGCAUGUUAUUAAUAUGGGUGUGGAGGAUCGGUCUCAUUAGCCUUUGCCUCUUUUGUCUUUUGUUAGUCACCGACUUUGGCUUGUUAACUUAAAAUAUUCUGUUGCUUUUCGACACAUGUGGAGCCUUGCUUAUUUUAAUCAUUUGUCUUUUGGUUUUGCAUGAAAAUUUGUCCGAGUCCUAUGGACUUCGCCCCUUUGCAUUUUCCUUGGGCCAUGGAGGCCAGAAUUAUUUCCUUCAUCGAGUCAACCUAUCAAGACGGAAGUGCAGAUUCGAAAAUCCAUGGAGAUUGAAGAAAGUCCAAAACAAACUAGAAGACUUGCCUUAUUUUGUCGUGUAUUUACUUUGUAAUGGGCAUAAGCCCUUGUUGUUUCUAUUUACCGCAUUUAUUUUCAUAUGCUUAGACUAGGACAGGUACGAAAGAGAAAUGGGUCGAAACCCAAUGGGUCCAAGUUUCGGUCAAGGCGAACAGAACCCGAAAACUUGGACCCAAAUCUCUCUCCUUCUCUCUCUCUAUCUCUCUUUGCUACUUGUUUACUUUUUGUUUUGAGUGCCGUUAGUCUAGGAUUAGAAAACUCCAACCCCGCCGAACACCUUUCGCUUUAUCGAACUCAAAAAUUAAAACUGAAUCUCAAAACAAUAAAAUGUCAAAUUCACAAGUUUGCUUAGAGUUAAAAUUUAAAAAGUUUAACUUUAACGGAAUAUUAAAACAAUAAAUGUUGCAAAACUCGUAAUUUGUCUAAAUGAAACUUUAAUAAGUUCAACUUCAAGAUUGCAAAAAAUAAAAAUAAAUAGUCAAAUUGUUAAUCGCCGGAUAAUCGUAUUUAACGGAGCGUCUUAGGUGCCUUCAACACCUUCCUAAGACGCUAAUAUGAAUCCCGAACCCCCUAAAAUAUUUUUAAAACGAUUUUUCCUUUUUAAGUUGUUUUUGAGAAUAAGUUUUCUUAAUCUUUUCAAAAUUAAGUGGCGACUCCUAAAAGUCGAAAAUGUCUCUAAAAAUAAAACAAACUCUUUUCGAAAUUAUUUUUUCGAUAAAACAAUCCAAAGGUAUAAUUCACCAAAAAUCAUGUCCGUACACACCACAACAAAAUGGUGUAGUAGAGCGAAAACACAAAUACCUACUAGAAACUUCUAGAGCAUUACUUCUUCAAUCCAGAUUACCAACAAAAUAUUGGGGAGAGUGCAUACUCGCAGCAACCUUUAUUAUUAAUAGACUACCAUUUGUUGUAUUGCAUAACAAGUCCCCAUUUUCAAUAUUGUACAACAAAGAACCUCAAUAUUCAUACAUGAAAAUCUUUGGUUGCUUGUGUUAUCCCACCACACCUAAGUCACACAUAACCAAAUUUGAUCCUAGAGCUACUCCUCAUGUGUUUAUAGGAUAUCUUUUUGGUACAAAGGGCUACAUUGAAUCUGGUCACUCACAAAAUCCAUAUGUCCAGGGAUGUUGUGUUUCAUAAGACUGUAUUUCCUUUUUCUCUCCCUGAUAAAAUGAAUCCUCCUAAUUCUCCCAGUCUAUCCUUUCCUGUGUUCGACCACUCUCCUUCUUAUGUGGUUAACAUUACUAAUGAUAAUUCUGCUACUAUGCUCAAUCCACAUAAUGUACAAUGUGAUCAUGACAAUGAAUGUGUUACAACUCCAAUCCAGUUACCAGAUCCUUCACUUCAUCCUGUUGAACAACCACCAAUCAGGAAAUCUAUCAGGCCUCACAAACCACUAACUUACUUAAAUGACUAUGUUUGUACUAAACCACAACCUACCAUCACCACUCCAAUCUCCUAACAUGGUUCCUUCUCUAACCAUCACCAUGAAACUUCUACUUUUCUAUAUCCUGAUAGUCAGGCUCUUGUUUUAAGUGUCUCAAAUGAUUGUGAGCCAUCAUCAUAUGAAGUUGUUGUUAUGAACCCUGCAUGGCAAGCAGCAAUGACGCAAGAGGUAUCUGCUCUCCAUGACAACAACACUUGGGAUCUCAUGCCACUUCCUCCUGGGAAGAAGGUCAUUGGUUGUAGAUGGGUGUACAAAGUCAAACACAGAGCUGAUGGGUGCAUAGAGAGAUACAAGGCUAGGCUGGUUGUGAAGGGUUACACCCAACACUAUGUCAUUGACUACACAGAAACAUUCUCCCCUGUCAUCAAAAUGACUACUGUUAGAGCUUUGAUUGCCACUGAUGUGAAGAAGCACUGGAACAUUUACCAACUAGAUGUGAAUAAUGUUUUUCUACAUGGAGAAUUACAUGAGGAAGUUUAUAUGACAGUCCCACAAGGAUUACAGGUUCAUAAUACUGAGUUGGUUUGAAAGCUCGAUAACUCUUGAGUCUAGGGGUCAUACUCACUCUCUCAAUGACUACUCCUUGUUUUACAAGAAGAAAGGCUCUUCUAUUGGGUUUAUUGUAGUUUAUGUAGAUGAUAUUCUACUUAUAGGCACUGAUCUUGAAGAGAUUAACAGUCUAAAGAGCUUUCUACAGAACCAGUUCAGAAUUAAAAAUCUAGGGAAGCUGCACAAUUUCUUAUUUCUGGAGACUCUACACACUAAAGUUGGAAUUCUUAUUUCACAAAGAAAAUUUAUCCUUGAUCUCCUCAAGGAAUAUCAUUGUUCUGAAUACACCAGUGUUGCCUCUCCCUCUUGAUGCAUCGGUUAAGAUCAGGGCAAAGAAGGGCAGCCUAUUUCUGAUCCCAGUUCUUAUAGAAAAUUGGUUGGGAAGUUGAACUUCCUCACUAAUACUAGGUUGGAUAUUGCCUAUGGGGUUCAACACCUUAGCCAAUUCAUGCAAGAUCCUAGGGAACCUCACAUGAAAGCAGUAUACCACAUGCUUAGGUACCUUAAGAAGGAUCCAAUAUUGGGCUUACUCAUGACUUCUACUGAUGAUUACAAGGUUCAAGCUUUUUGUGAUUCUGACUGGGGUGCUUGCCCAGAUUCGCAAAAAUCAGUACAUGGUACAUUGUGCUACUAGGUUCUAGUCCAAUCAGCUGGAAGUCUAAGAAACAAGAAAUUAUUUCACUUUCAUCUGCUGAAGCUGAAUACAAAUCCCUUCGGAAAGUAGUUGGAGAAUUGACUUGGUUAAAUCGAUUGUUUGCCAGGAACCCCGUAUUACACGAAAGAACUAAACAUAUUGAAAUUAACUGUCAUUUUGUGCGUGCUAAGCUUCAAGAAGGCCUGUUUUCUUUGCAUCAUAUUGGAACUAAUGAUUAGUUGGCUGACAUACUCACUAAGGCUCUUACAGGGAUUAAACAUUCUGAUGUUCUAGACAAGUUGGAUGUGCUCAGUUCACCUCCAACUUGAACGGGGACAUUGGGAAUAUUAUCUAAUUUUACUUUACACGUAUAUUAAUUAACAUUUGUUAGAGUUAGUAAAAAAAUUAGUUACACAACUUUAUAAUUGCUUUCUGUACAGAAUCAGUUAGAUUUGUUAUUUCUUCUAGAAUUAUCUUUAGCUCUAUAAAUAAGAGUUGUCACAAAUGUAAUUGCAUUUAGUUCAUUCAAUCCAAUUCUGAGAAGCUUUCUGUUAUUCCAUCUUCAUCUUCUCCAAAGAAGUCUCCAUGAAUCUCUUUUCUAUAAUUGAUCUUCUGUGUUCUUAAUCAUCAUCAAACCUACAUUGGUUCUUGCUAGGUUUUAAAGGCAUGUCAUUUGUCUGUAAAUAUGUUUUCGUAAUCGUUUUGCUAUGGUCAUUGGUUGUGGUUCAAUACCAUGUUGACCCAAUGGAUAAGCUAUGAAGUGCUUAAAAAUCAGUUUGAUCAGCUUAUAAGCUAUGAAGUGGUUCAGUUCAUGAUCAUUUAGCUUUGUCUAUUGAUUAUGGUUCAACAGCUCGAUGGUUCACUGAUAUGUUAACACCUGUUUUAUAAGCCAGUUUUACCAGUUUAAUCAAAUGCCCCUUUUACUCUCUUAUAUCUUUUUAAUGUCUACAAUAGUUUUUAUGUUGCUUGUUUAAAUCUCUGUAUCCACUUUUUCUAUUGAAUCUAAUAAAUAUGAAAUGCUAAAUAUCUAAUUGGAGACUAAACAUAGUUAACAACUAAAUUAUUUUAUGCUUAUCUUUAAACAUGUGUUAUGAUUUUUGUCAUUUUCUUGACUAAACAUUAUAGUUAAAAAAAAAUGUUAUAAAAGACAAAUGUCAUUAAUCACAUCAAUUUUUUUUUCCUUAAUAAGUGGAGUCAUCCACCUUUGACUAGUAGAUAAAAUAUUUUCUUGGUUUAAUUGUCCAAGAGAUCUAGACGGCUUGUCACUUUUGAUUUUAGUCAUCAUUAAUAAAUGAACUUAGCAUAAAAAAAAAUAAUUAGUUUAGUUGAGUUGUCAUGAUUAAUUGGAUUGCUUCUACUUUUAUGAUUGGAGCAUUCUAGCUUCUUCUUUUUUUCUCUCUUUGAAAAGAUAGAAACGGAAAAAGAUUUAGAACGUUAUUAAACUAUUGAAAAUAGUAUUAAAAAAUUUUUUUUCACCGAUGAGCUUACAAAUAUCUUCGAUAACCACCUUUAGGUUUUAUAUUGAUCUUAUUUUUAAUAUUUCUAAGAAAUUGUUUGGUGUGUGGGAUUAAAAAUAAUAGUGAUGUGAUAAAAAAAAUUAUCUUGUUUGGUUGCCAUGUUUGGAAUAAUUUAUUCCACCAUUUAUAUCAUAGUUAUUGAAUAAGUCAUUUCAUAUACAUGUGGGAUAAGUUAUCUUAGAAUAGCUAACCCAGAAUAACUUAUACUGCUGCAACUUGUUCCUAACCAAAUGACACCUAAAUGAAUUUAUUAAUGAUGUGGCGGUCAAUGGUCAUCUAUGGAUUGUCUUUUAAAGGCUUAAGUUCUAUUCAGCACCCUAAAGUUGUCUGCAUAUUUCACUUGAACACCUAAAUUGAGAUUUGUACCUAUUAAACACCUCUAGUAGUUUAAAUUGAUAUCACUUAAACACGUUUUGCCUACAUGGCACUUUAAAUGUGAUUCACGGAAAAUGAGCGCGUGAAAACAUAUCUUUAGACAUUUUAAUUAUUUUUUUUAAAAAAAAAAUCUCUUUCUUCUUCCUUAAGAAGGUUACAGUCACUUUCUCCGACAGUCACCAUUGCUGCCGCCACCAUACACCUUCUUCUUCAUACAUUCUUUUAUCCCUCCUCAUUUAAGUCGUUGGCACUAUCAUCUCCGCCAUUAACGUCGCUGCUCAGUCAUUUUUUUUCUUCAAAUCUAUAUGCUUGGUCGUGUUUUUUCUUCAGUUUUAGAAUGAAUUGGUUGUGUUUUUCUUCUUCAAGUCUUGGACUAAAUUAUUUUUUAUGGAUUUGUGAAAGAAAGCAAGGUUACAACGCCAUUAACGUCGUUGCUCAGUUGUAAUUUUAUUUAUUUUGAAUCUCAAUCUUCCGGAAUUGAUUUAAGUUAGAAGAGAAAAUGAUGGAUUGUUUCCAAUGGAUGGCAGCACCGUGGUAGGGGAACACUAUUUGGUGGGUGGAUGGUUGGGUUGUAAAGGGUUACCUAACAAUUAUUUUUUAAACUUUAAAAUAUAUUUUUUUCUUUUUCUUAUUUUUUUAAUAAUAUUUUUGACCCACAUGACAUAUGUCAUAAUUUAAUUUGUUGUUGUGCCAUGUCAUCGCGAGUGUAUCUCACUCACUUAAUAUUUGGGGCUGAUUAUUAAUAAAAUGUCAAAUAGGUAUCAAUCUGAAGUACUAGAGGGGUUCAAUAGCUACAGAUCGUAGUUGAAGUGUCCAUGUGAAAUCUCCGGACAACUUUAAGUGGCCGCAUAUGACUUAAGCCUCUUUUAAAUAAUAUAUUGAUGUUGGCAAAAUUGAUCAUAAAAAGAUUAAUUUCACUUUCUUUUUUUUUUGAUAAUUUGAGACUAAAAAUAUGGAUGGAUAGACUUGAGCUUCCUCUUUGUAACAUUAUUGUUCUCUUUCUCCCAUCUACAUCCCCAUGGAGUAAACACUUUUGCAAAUUUAAAGGUCCUAUCCUAGAAAUAGAAGAUAAAAUAAAUCACAAAUGGAAAAGUGAUCAAAUUGAUUUUCUUUUUGACCAAACAAUGCCAAAAGGAAAGAAAAUUGUUGUCAUUUGAAUAUCUAAUGUACACAAUUAAGAAAAGACAUUCUAAAAUGGUGAAAGAAUAAGUGGAAUGAGGAGAAGAAUGGAGACCUCUUUCUAGAGUGACAAUCCUAUCUAACCAAAAAAGGAAAUUCAAUUCCCAUCUUCAACUUGUGCAUGAUUGAUCCUAAUUUUAAAAAUAAUAUUCAUAUAUAAUACUCGCGCCGUUUCAAAAAAGAAUAAUCUCGUUUUCUUUUAGUUUAUUUUAAAAAAAAAGAGUUAUUUUUUGGUAACAUUUUAAUAUUACAUUUCCACGUGGCAUAUUUAAGGCCACAAGAUAAAAGAAUAAUUUUAUAUAUUUAAUAUAACUUUAAUUUAGGACCACAAGAUUCAGAACUCUUUUUUACUUUCUUAUACUCCAUGUCUAGUUAAAACAUGUCACUCCUUUGAAACGAAAGGAGUAUUGAUUACACAAUUGUGUACGGACCACCUAAAAUAUGUAUUUAUUAUCAGAUAUUAAAAUCUAUGACAAAGCGCAAUACUUAAAAUGUUUUAUAAAAGAACAACAACAAUACUAAGAUCAGCUAGAACAAAUGAUCACCAGAAAGAAUUAAUAAAUUAUCUAGAAAGAUAGAUAUUACUGUUAUUAAUGUUUGUCUCAUAUGCUAUAACUUAGAAGAAGAUUUUCUAAAGGACCAACAUUUCAAAUCUAAUACGUUAUUAUAUUUAUAUAUAUUUCUCUUUUUAACCAAUCAAUAUAUAAUAAGAAAAGAGUUUGAACUUGCUAUCGUAUUAUUGAAACUUUGAGCAAUUCUGUCAUCCAUUAAACUUUCAACCCCAUAGUCUUUUCAUUAUUAAAUCAUUUUAUAUUAGCUUUUUUCAUUAAAAGGAAUUUAGGAAACUUCGUAUGUUUGCGUUACACAAACAAAUUUUGUUCUUGUUUGGAAAUCCAAUAUACGCCAUCGUGAUACAUUUUAUUUUUCUUUAUCAAUGUUGUCAAAAAUAAUUCAAGAAACGACUUGCAAGUAGACAUAUAGUAAUUGAAAAUAAGGUGAAUUACAUGGGAAUUUUUCUAAGGAAUAGCAUGAAAAUUUGCAGAAAAAAACUUUUUCACGAAUUUCCAAAAAAAUUCCUAUGUAAUUCACACUUUUCUUGUAGAUACCUUUUAAUUAGAACACAAGCAACAUGUAAUUUAUCUAUUUUUAGUUUUGCUCAUAUAUCUUCUCAUUCGACUUUAACGUAUGAAAUCAUUUACAUCAGCUAAAUACAUAAAAUAAGUGCAGUUAAGAUCAUUCAAAGUAGAAUAGAGUCUGAGUCAUUGAAUAACUUAUGAUACGGAGACGACCAAUAAACUUAUUAUAACAUGAAUUUUUGAAACUACAAGAUAUUGAGCAUACGAUAUACAUAUAAUACAUAUAUGUAAGAUUAUGUAAACGAAAUUUCACGGUAUAAAAAGAGUUAUUAGUAUGCAUACCUUGCGGAUUGAAGAAAUUGAAAUCCAUAGUUGAUUAGAAUAUCAUGCUAAUAACGUGUUUUAAAAUUUAUAGCAAAUAAAAUAAUAUAAAAUAAGAUCUCUUUAGACAAGGGUAUUGGAGUGUCUUCCAACAAAUAUGAAGAAUAUCUUGUUAGAGAAUAUACAAAUCGUAGUUAGAUAUAAAAAUUAAGUCAUGCCUUAA